AUCAAAAUAGGUCAAGGCCAGUAGGGGUAAGUGUCACAGACAGAGUUUGGUGGCACAGGCAGUUAUCAACGAGCGCCAAAGAAGAGCAGUUGGGGUAGAUAUUGAAUGAAGAAAUGAAUGACGAAAAACAAAUCUGCGUUGGUUUGGCACACAAAGGUCUCAGUGGUUGCUGCUGUCCUGCUGUUUCCACUUCUAUUAAAGGAGAGUCAGAGAUCUCUUCAUGUCAUCAGUGAGGAACCACAUACACCCAACACUGCUGUUUAUAAAGGGACGUGCACUGGAUGCAGAGUCUCUUUUAGAAAUAAUGAUGGAAGGGGAGAAGGAGGUCUGAGAAGUAGACGAUGUGAACACGGCUCUAUCUUCAACACUGAAUAUGUUUCAAAGUUGAGA